UGUCUCGACCAUGCACCCUUCACUACCUACCCUCCACUCCCUUCCUGGUGCUUUCUAGUGUCAUCUCCUAAAAACACCACCGGCCCCAGAAUUCUUGUCUCAGGGUCCUCUCCAGGGAGGCCCCUUCAAAACAGACAAAAGCUGGAGACAUUGAGAUAAUAACAAAUACUGGUUAUAUUUUAAAAUGCUGUAUAUAUCUCCCUUAAAACAAGCCAGUACUGUGGAUGGACAAGGGCCUCUUCGCUGCCUGAGGCCCAAUUAGAAGACCCUUCAUCUCUGGCACUGGACUUGCCCAGAAGCUUUAGAGACACCUGCUCCACUGCUCCACAGCUAGAGCCCAGGAUGCCUGUGGGCAUGACAUGGAGGGGAGCCUGCUGUAGAUCCCCACCUGGGUGCAGUCACAGAGAGAGAGAGAGGCAGAGACACAGGCAGAGGGAGAAGCAGACUCCAUGCACCGGGAGCCCGACGCGGGAUUCGAUCCCAGGUCUCCAGGAUCGCGCCCUGGGCCAAAGGCAGGCGCCAAACCGCUGCGCCACCCAGGGAUCCCCAGAGAACUGUUCUAAGCAAAGAGAAUGUGUUCUGCAAGGCCUACCUCAGAUGUCGCCAAGAAGAAUAACAGACAAGGUAACACCAGGAGACUUCAAGGAUGAUGAAACGCAGAGUCUCUCCAAGAGCAAGAAUCAGAGGCUGCUUGAUGGGCGAUGAAGUUUGUCACGGUUAGGGAGCAGCAGCCAUAGGGUGUGUUUUACUCUCUCCUCUGUCCCAAUGGGAUUUUUACUAUUUUCCUGAUCCUACUUCAUCACAGUAUAUUGGCUAUGUGAAAGGCUGAUAAUUUAUCUUAUACUUUUUUUUUUUUUUACCAUGUCAGUCUUGAAUUUCCUAUCUUCUACAUUUUCAUGUGUGAGAAAAAUAAACUAUCAUCUUAU